GGCAGCAGCAGGGAAUAUUGCGCAAUGAGCGAAAGCUUGACGCAGCGACACCGCGUGUGGGAUGACGGUUCUAGGAUUGUAAACCACUUUCAGGAGGGAAGAAAAUGACGGUACCUCCACAAGAAGACCCGGCCAACUACGUGCCAGCAGCCGCGGUAAUACGUAGGGGUCAAGCGUUGUCCGGAUUUAUUGGGCGUAAAGAGCUCGUAGGCGGUUCAACAAGUCGGUCGUAAAAGUUUAGGGCUCAACCCUAAAAUGUCGAUCGAUACUGUUGUGACUAGGAUACGGUAGAGGUGAAUGGAAUUCCGAGUGUAGCGGUGAAAUGCGUAGAUAUUCGGAGGAACACCAAUUGCGAAGGCAGUUCACUGGACCGUGAUCGACGCUGAGGAGCGAAAGCUAGGGGAGCAAACAGGAUUAGAUACCCUGGUAGUCCUAGCUGUAAACGAUGGAUACUAGAUGUAGGAACUGGAUUGACGGUUUCUGUAUCGUAGCUAACGCGUUAAGUAUCCCGCCUGGGGAGUACGGUCGCAAGACUAAAACUCAAAGGAAUUGACGG
rnacentral:rRNA from 1 species